UCAAGUUAUUAAGGGUGCAGGGCGGAUGCCUUGGCACUAGGAGCCGAUGAAGGACGUGAUAAGCUGCGAUAAGCUUCGGGGAGUUGCACGUAAACUUUGAUCCGAAGAUUUCCGAAUGAGGAAACUCACUUAGAGUAAUGUCUAAGUAUCAUUAAGUGAAUACAUAGCUUAAUGAGGGGAACUCAGGGAACUGAAACAUCUAAGUACCUGAAGGAAGAGAAAGAAAUUCGAUUCCGUAAGUAGCGGCGAGCGAACGCGGAUUAGCCCAAACCAAUAAAGUUUUCUUUAUUGGGGUUGCGGACAUAUCAUAACGAAGAGGUAUCGUAAUUGAAGAGGUUUGGAAAGACCCACCACAGAAGGUAAUAGUCCUGUAUGUUAAACGAGAAGACUUCAGAUAUGAUCCAGAGUACCACGGGACACGUGAAACCCUGUGGGAAGCAGGAGGGACCACCCUCCAAGGCUAAAUACUACCUAGUGACCGAUAGCGUAUAGUACCGUGAGGGAAAGGUGAAAAGAACCCCGGGAGGGGAGUGAAAUAGAACCUGAAACCCUGCACUUACAAGCUGUGGAAGCACAUUUCUUGUGUGACCGCGUACUUUUUGUAGAACGGGCCAACGAGUUACGUUAAGUAGCAAGGUUAAGCACUUAAGGUGCGGAGCCGUAGCGAAAGCGAGUUUUAACUGAGCGUUCAGUUACUUGACGUAGACCCGAAACCGGGCGACCUACCCAUGAGCAGGAUGAAGCGAAAGUAAAAUUUCGUGGAGGUCCGAACCCACGAGCGUUGAAAAGCUCGGGGAUGACUUGUGGGUAGCGGUGAAAUUCCAAUCGAGCCCGGAGAUAGCUGGUUCUCCCCGAAAUAGCUUUAGGGCUAGCCUCAAGGUGAGAGAUACGGAGGUAGAGCACUGAAUGUCCUAGGGGGUAUUGCACCUACCGAAGACUAUCAAACUCCGAAUGCCGUCAUCUUAUACUUGGGAGUCAGACUGUGGGUGAUAAGAUUCAUAGUCGAAAGGGCAACAGCCCAGAUCGUCAGCUAAGGUCCCUAAAUGUAAGUUAAGUGGUAAAGGAUGUGGGAUUGCACAGACAACCAGGAUGUUGGCUUAGAAGCAGCCACUCAUUCAAAGAGUGCGUAAUAGCUCACUGGUCGAGUGAUCCUGCGCCGAAGAUUUCCGGGGCUAAAACUUACUACCGAAGCUACGGCAUCAGUAAUGAUGGGUAGGGGAGCUUCCCAUACGGGUUGAAGCAUGACCGUAAGGACAUGUGGACAGUAUGGGAGUGAGAAUGUUGGCAUGAGUAGCGAGAUGUGGGUGAGAAUCCCACAGGCCGUAAACCCAAGGUUUCCAGGGGAAGGUUCGUCCGCCCUGGGUUAGUCGGGACCUAAGCUGAGGCCGAAAGGCGUAGGUGAUGGACAACAGGUUGAUAUUCCUGUACUACCGAUAACCGUUUGAGAGAAGGGAUGACACAGUAGGAUAAGCUAAGCACACUGUUGGUUAUGUGUGCCCAAGCAUUGAGGCAGUCAAAGUAGGCAAAUCCGCUUUGAUAAUGCUGGGAUGUGAUGGGGAGCGAAAUUUAGUAGCGAAGUAGCUGAUUUCACACUGUCAAGAAAAGUCUCUAUCGAGGUUAAAGGUACCCGUACCGCAAACCGACACAGGUGGGUGAGGAGAGUAUCCUAAGGCCAGCGAGAGAACUGUUGUUAAGGAACUCGGCAAAAUGACCCCGUAACUUAGGGAUAAGGGGUGCCACCAUCAGGUGGCCGCAGAGAAUAGGCCCAAGCGACUGUUUACCAAAAACAUAGGUUUCUGCUAAGUCGCAAGACGAUGUAUAGGAGCUGACGCCUGCCCGGUGCUGGAAGGUUAAGGGGAUCUGUUAGAGCAAUCGAAGCAGUGAACUUAAGCCCCAGUAAACGGCGGCCGUAACUAUAACGGUCCUAAGGUAGCGAAAUUCCUUGUCGGGUAAGUUCCGACCCGCACGAAAGGCGUAACGAUUUGGGCACUGUCUCAACAACAGACUCGGUGAAAUUGUAAUUCCGGUGAAGAUGCCGGAUACCUGCGACAGGACGGAAAGACCCCAUGGAGCUUUACUGUAGCUUGACAUUGGGUCUUGGUACUACAUGUACAGGAUAGGUGGGAGGCUUUGAAACCAGGACGCCAGUUUUGGCGGAGCCAUCCUUGGGAUACCACCCUUGUAGUACUGGGACUCUAACCAUAGGCCAUGAAUCUGGUCUUGGGACACUGUCAGGUGGGCAGUUUGACUGGGGCGGUCGCCUCCCAAAAGGUAACGGAGGCGCUCAAAGGUUCUCUCAGUACGGUCGGAAAUCGUACGUAGAGUGUAAAGGCAAAAGAGAGCUUGAUUGCAAGACAUACAGGUCGAGCAAGGAUGAAAAUCGGACUUAGUGAUCCGGUGGUUCUGCGUGGAAGGGCCAUCGCUCAACGGAUAAAAGCUACCCUGGGGAUAACAGGCUUAUCUCCCCCAAGAGUCCACAUCGACGGGGAGGUUUGGCACCUCGAUGUCGGCUCAUCACAUCCUGGGGCUGUAGUAGGUCCCAAGGGUUGGGCUGUUCGCCCAUUAAAGUGGUACGCGAGCUGGG
rnacentral:rRNA from 1 species